UUUAUGACUUGGAAUAUUUGACUGGUAUUUCUAUUGUGGUAUAAAUGUUUGAAGAGCAAGGUCCCUGGUUUUCUGCUUCCCAGAACUAUUAAGAACACCAAUUGCAAUCACUGUCAGUCCUUGGGGGACAAUUUGCAUGUGAACAACUGAUUAGUCAGCUUGUCUGUUCAUUUUUACAUGAACUGCAUGUCAGACAAUGCCUCAUAUCCUAUCAGAGGCCUUCCAUUUCCAUUUUGGGAGUUUAAAGAAUUUGGUAUCCCAGAUUAAUCUGCCUUUUGAGCAUGAAAACAGUGGGUAAUAUUUUCCAUUCCUUUCAUUGGUGAGCCAAAAACUCAAGGUGCAAGUGGAAUUCGAUCUUUAAGACUCUUUCUACCACACUUCGUGCAAGUCUUCCCUCUCCUGGCUCCAAGAGGUGUUGCCAAAGGAGAUUACCAUCUGAGUCAGUGGACUGGGAGAGACAGACCCACCCUCAGUCUGGGUGGGUACCAUCUAAUCAGCUACCCACACGGCUAGAAUAAAGCAGGCAGAAGAAAGUGAUCAACAGACUUGCUGAGUCUUCUGGCCUUCAUCUUUCUCCCGUGCUGGAUGCUUCCUGCCCCUGAACGUCAGACUCCAAGUUCUUCAGAUUAUGGACACUUGGACUUACACCAGUGGUUCACCAGGGGCUCUCGAGCCUUUGGCCACAGACUGAGGUUAUUUCUGGACACAGUAAUCCUUCAGCAAUACAAUUACCAAGUUAUUCAACAUGGAAGGCUUUGCCAAGACAGUGGUGGCUGGGAUUUGACCCUCUAAGUGUGAGGGUCAUCCAUUCCUUUAUUAGCAAAUAUUCAUGAAUGCCCACUAUGUGCAACACACGGUGCUUGGUGCAAGCAUACAGUGAUGAAUCAAGUAGAGAAGGCCCUGCCCUUAUGGAGCUUACAGCCUGGCUGUGAGAUUUUUGGAAAAGAAAAUAAACCUACAGUUAAAAGAAAAAAGAAAACAAUGAAAAUAGAAGCUGAGCUUAGCUGAGGAUAUGAAUAACGAAAAGCAACCACCUUACCGCAAAACAACUCUAAGAAGUAGGAUUAUCAUCACUCAAUUUACAGGCAUCCAUGUCCUCCAGGAUAUAAAGGAAGAAGUUGAGGGAUGGAUGCAGAGUAUACUAUUCUCCACCAUUACAAAUUGGGCACCUUUGCUUUUGAAUGAGUGACCACAGCCCUGGAAACUUGUAUGCUUUGCUAAUUGAGGGCAGAUGAGCCUCAGGUCAAUCCCCCAUCAAUUAUCCACUCAACAACAAUAAAAUGCUAACUUGUAUGCCCUAACCCAGUUUGUUUAAUUAUUUGGAAGUGAUUUUGUAUCUAAACAACCCACACACUGGACAUAAGCAAUCCUGGAUAAAAUAGAAGUUUAUUAAACUCAUCUUCAUAUUUACAUAAAUUAUUUUUUAAAAAGACACCAUCUAGGCCAAGACCAGUUUUAUUUUUCCCUUCAAAGAAUAAUGUUGAGGAUCAAUUUCUCCAGCUUAACAUCACCAGCCUUGGCAGCAGCUCAUAUUUGGAAUAUAAAUGAUGUCAUCUGGUUGGCCUUUUCCCAUCACAAACAGUAAAUCUCUAAAUCUGGAGAGAUCUUUUAUUUGGUUACACAUAUUGUACAGCAUCAAGGGGUUAGAACACAUGUGCUAGAGAUUAUUAAAAUCAUCUGGAGGAGAAUGGCUUAUUAUUGGAAAGCCCAGAACUUAUGACCCUUUCAUGCCUGGUGUCUCCAUCAACUCUUCUUUCGCUCCUACCUUUUCAAAGAAAUAAUUGUGGCCGAUUGGCCCAUGAUUAUUUGCAUACUAAGGUUUUUCUGGUGCACCAUGCCUCUUCUCUGGAAAAAGAUAUCCCUAGCAGAGUAUAGAGAAAGGGGAACAGGAUUAGGAAUCAGAAAGCCAGUCACAGCAACAUGCCAAAAUAUGACUUUGGGUAACACAUUUGAACUCUACUAAUUUCACUCUCUCAUCUAUAAAAUGAAAAUAAUAAUAACCAGCCUCACAGGAAUUUUUUAGAUAGAUAGUUUUUUAAAAAGUCAUUGAAUAUCUGUUUAUCACUGUAUAAUUUGCUAAAAUCUUUCAAUUACAUUAGCAUUAGUCUUACCUAGCACAAGAAAGACACUCAACAGAUAUUUGUUGAAUAGCAUGUAAAUUGGUGAUAUUAUAGUUUGAUGGAUUCUGAGUCGUUAAGGUAUCUAUCACACCUCUGAACUUAGUUUUCUUUAUUUAUAAUGUGUAUUCAACUGUAUCUCUUUUUAGGGUUGUUGUAAGAGAUAAAGAAAAUAACAUACAUGAAGUAUCAGUUUCGGGCACUUUGGUGUGUACUUGAGAAAGAGGUUUCCUUUUCUCUGAUCGCUUCUUCUUUCAGAGCUUCAUUCUUCUCAUUCAACAGAAUUGGUCAUAAUUAUAACAUUCUACUUGUUGAGGAGAUAGCUGUGGGGCAAAGAGAACAGGGGGGCCAAGCUUUGGUCCUAAUUUUCCAUCUUCCCAGUUGUGUGAACUUUGACAAUUUGGGGGAGUCUGUUUCCCCAUUUGAAAAAUAAGGAGCUUGUCUAGAUCUGAAGUUCCCAAAUUUUUGAAGUUUAUAGAGCAAACAAACAAAUAAACAAACAACAACAACAACAACAACAAAAGACCAGUACCAACCAGGAGCCUAACAUAACAUGGUCAAUUUUUUGAUCUGAGAAAUAGAUUUUUGAAAAAUAACUGUCACUUACCAUUACAAUCAUUUCAAAUUAAAGGACAAGGAACUCCAAAAAAGAAAAAAAAGAAAAAUUAUGAAAUAUAAGACAUGACUCUAAAAUGAUUACAUUAACCUCAUGGGGAAAGAUGCUGAAUCGUCUUAUUGUCCUUAUUUUUUUCUCAUUUUUCCACAGACCUGUGAAAACUUGUUGUGGACCAACAUGGGUCUUCAGAGUAGUACUUGGGAACCUGUACUGUUCUGUAUUGUGGACCAACAUGGGUCUUCAGAGUAGCACUUGGGAACCACUGGGAUGCAUGACAUGGAAGGGCUCUUCUAGCACUAUGUCCUGUGAUUCUAUCAUAAUUCCACCAUGGUGAAAAGCUGGGAUACUUAAACAACAGUUUGUUUAGGUGAAAUCAGUAAAACAAUGAUCUGAUUCAGCUAAGAAGCUGAUCCCUGAAGUCAUUUUGCUGAACUGAAUGACUCUAGAUCUUGAUAGGAAGUAUAAUUUAGUCAAAACAAUCUAAAUUGUUAUGUGUGGAUUGACACAUAUGAGUUGUUCCCGCAGGUCUUCAAAAUACUUCCUUGCCCCUAAUGAGGCUGACUCAGGCUUUGUUCCCCACCAACUAUAAAUUGAUAAGUAUCACACUUGUACCUACCUACAUCAAAAUGAGAGAGAUAUGUGAGUGAGCCAAACAUAUCCAAAGCAUUCCUAAUUCAGGCACUAUGUGCUCACCCUGAGGUUAGCUUCUCUGACACCUUCCACUCUCUAAUCUUGAGCCAAAAUAUGUCUCUACACUCUACUGUGGUGAUCUCAAAGUCCCUGUAUGAAUGCCUCAUAUUUUAUCACCAAAAUUCUAAAUAGAGACUCUCUGUUUCAUGGUUAGCACUCAUUUCUACCAAGCUUGAUCAUCUGAGGUGGACCAAAUUAGAAAUAGGCAAGCAAAAUAGAGGUAGGAGAAGCUAUUAAUACAGGUCAGGAAGAGAUUAGUUUUGGCUGGGUGCUGUGGCUCACAGCUGUAAUCCUAGCAUUUUGGGAAGCUGAGGUGGGCGGAUCACUUGAGGUCAGGAGUUUGAGACCAGCCUGGCCAACAUGGUGAAUUUCCAUCUCAACUAAAAAUAGAAAAAUCAGCUGGGCAUAGUGGAAGGCACCUGUAAUCUCAGCUACUUGGCAGGCUGAGGCAGGAGAAUCACUUGAACCCAGGAGGCAGAAGUUGCAGUGAGCUGAGAUUGCACCACUGCACUCCAUCCUGGGCAACAGAGUGAGACUCCAUCUCAAAAAUAAAUAAAUAAACAAAUAUAGACAGGUCAGGAGUUGUGGGUUGUGGCUUUGCUUGACUUCACAGAAGAAAGAGAGAAAAAUCAAACAGAACUAACUGUAAGCUACUGAGGACAAUAAUAGAUGUUCAUAUCUUUGGUUCUAAGUCAUCAAGAAAAGUUUAAACUAUGUACAAGAACCUUCUCAAGGAAGCAGAUAAUUCAUUGAGAUAGAUGCUUGGGGGUGAGGGCAAACCUCAGCUAUCAGGAAAUUCAUCUCAAGUUAGCAAACGUGAAUUCUCCUGUGAUCCUAGGGUAAUGAAGUAGUAACAGCAAUAGAAACAACCAUAAUAAUGGCUGGCUACUGCAUUGUACUCUGCCUCUUAGGAGUACUUCCAUUUUCUCAUUUAAUAUUCAGAUCAACCCCAUGAGGAACAAAUAAUAAUUUUUAUUAUCCACUCAUUUCUCCAAGUGAGGAAAUCAAAGCUCAGCUUGGUUAAGUAGCUUGCCAAGACAGCAGAGCUAGUCAGUGGCAGAGUAAGAAUGCAAACCCUAGUCUUCUAACUUGAAGCCCAGUGCAUUUCCCACCCUCUGAUCUUCUCUCAUCCUUAUAAAUAGCCAUAAGACUAAGUAGUUCAAAAAUAUCUUCUUUCUGGUUCUCAGGCCCAUUACAAAUGCCACUUGCCCUGGGUAGGAAAAUAAAGCCCAAGCUCUUUGCUGGACUAUGUGCUAAGUCCUUGGCGCCCAGAAAUAACCUCCUGGAGACUAUGGGCCUUAUAUUUACCGCAAAGCAGUGGGUAAAUAACUAGUUGGUGUUUUAGUGUUUUGUGGUCACUUAAUCUGUUGUGUUGCUUCCCAAGACUCUGAAGGUUUCCUUUUUCAGUUAAUUCUUAUUUACGUUUCUGAGGUCUGUGUUGUUUUGGGUUUGGUUCAUUGGAUGUUUUUCUUGGAAUGUGUUGCCAUUGGCUUCAGGAUGUUCCUGCUCUGCUAUUUCAUGGAAUUUUCCCCGAGUGUGGAUUGCUAUGUAUUUCUUCGGGGCAGUGAGCCAAGGCAGUGCUGGUAUGUAAUCUGUUCCUCUGGCCAGAAGACUUCUUGUCACCCAUCCACAUGGUGCUUGGUUGUAUUUCUCCACUGAUAAUUCCCCUCCAUCUGUUAAUGUGCAG
rnacentral:lncRNA from 10 species